AGAUGUCACACUAAAUUGUCCCCACUCAUAUCAAUACAACUUAGAAAUGACACCAAAUGAAUUAUUCCAACAAAAAGAUAGACUCCAUUUAGUCCACCAUUUUAAUGUAGCAUUAUUGUACUAAUUUAUGUUUCUGUGCCACCACUGAUUAACCCUUCUCAUGGAGUUACCAUUCUUUCAUUAAAAAGGAAAAAAGUUACCCAAAUUUGAUUAAAAUUAGAUCCCAAAAGUUAUAUGUUACUCUUUUUGACCCUUUUUCGACAAGUCAGCUACCAACAUAUCAAAAUUAUAUGCAAAAAUGAUUACUCGAAAUUUCUAUAUAACCUCGACUAUGUUGAGUUUUGAUUCAAUAAUGUAUUGAAGUCAAUAAGAAUGAUGUUGAGACAGUCAAGACCACACCUAAUUCUAUUAUAAAAUCAACAAUAUUAUCAUCCCAGAAAUAUGCAGCUAAAAAAAGAUUUACUCAUUCAUAUUUAAAUCUAACUGCUACCAGCAUCAUUGGAUGGAACUCCAUAUAUUAUCAACAUAGUCAUAUAACUCAAUAAGUACAUUAUAAUCAAAUAAACAAGAAUUGCAAACGAGAGGAUAAGUAAAGAACUUGUCAAUGAUUAUGCAUACCUCAUCAACCCUAUCCCACCAUCGAAACUGGGAUUGAAUCUUUUUUCUAACAACAUUAUAUAACAAUGUAGGAUAGAAAAAAGCCCGAGCCCCUGCUCCGACAAUAACCCUUUUUGCAUCCCAAAUAAGGAAACUACCUUGGCCCUCUCCAAUCUCUGAAUCAUCUUCCUUACCACACAAUUGCUGCCCCUCUUUAUUCUCCAAAUUUCCUUCCUUCAGUUCCUCAAUAUACAUGCUUCCAAACAAAUUUGCAACCCACCCCUAAUAAUAUUGAAGCAAAAAUAAAAAUACACCAAACAGGCAUAAAAAACCUUGCAGCCUUUGAAUAAAAUCAGCAAGAACCCUUCACAUCAUACCUUUAAAAAAUCUUGAAGUUAAUUAAUAAGUACAGAAAAAUAAACCCUCAAAGAAUAUCACAUCAAGAUUGAAUCUUGCCAGAUAAAAACUAAAAACUCACACCAACCCACCAACCAAAAUCUUCAAAAACACACAAUAUCAAGUUCUAAUUUAAGAAAAAACACAAAAAAUUAACAAAACCCCAAUAUCACUUCAUCACUCUUCAGAGAAAGACUGACAACCAAACUGAUAAAUUCCAAGUCGGAUUAAAGAGUAUACAAGAAAGAAAACCCAAGUUUUGAAGGAAACGAUGUGAAAAUAAGUGCUUUUCAAUGGGUUGGCCGGUUGGGCAUAAUUUUGUCGCAAAAUGUGCGUGUGAGAAGCAACAGAUGCCAGAUGAAGAG
rnacentral:lncRNA from 1 species